rnacentral:misc_RNA from 1 species
AACGCACCUUGCGCUCCUUGGUAUUCCGAGGAGCAUGCCUGUUUGAGUGUCAUUAAAUUCUCAACCUAACCAGCUUUUGUGAGCUUGGGAUAGGCUUGGAUUGUGGGGGUUUCUUGCGGGCUUCAUCCAGAGGUCGGCUCCCCUUAAAAGCAUUAGUGGAACCUUCUGUUGACCGUGUCCUGGUGUGAUAAUUAUCUACAUCGUGUGCAGUCAGCUAUCUAACAGGUUUCUGCUUCCAACUCGUAUCACCCUUUACUUGGGGGACGCUUUGACCAUUUGACCUCAAAUCAGGUAGGACUACCCGCUGAACUUAA